rnacentral:snRNA from 1 species
AUCGCUUCUCGGCCUUUUGGCUAAGAUCAAGUGAAGAAUGUGCAAACUUCCAGAAAUUUAUAGACUAAAGUAGAGUAGAUAUGAGAUCUAUCCCAAUAACUACACUCUAGGUGAAAAUUAUUGACUACUA